rnacentral:rRNA from 1 species
GACGAACGCUGGCGGCGUGCUUAACACAUGCAAGUCGAGCGGUAAGGCCCUUUCGGGGGUACGACGAGCGGCGAACGGGUGAGUAACACGUGGGUGACCUGCCCUCAGCUCUGGGAUAAGCCUGGGAAACCGGGUCUAAUACCGGAUAUGACUCCAUGACGCAUGUUGUGGGGUGGAAAGCCUUGUGCGGCUGAGGAUGGGGCCCGCGGCCUAUCAGCUUGUUGGUGGGGUGAUGGCCUACCAAGGCGACGACGGGUAGCCGGCCUGAGAGGGCGACCGGCCACACUGGGACUGAGACACGGCCCAGACUCCUACGGGAGGCAGCAGCGGGGAAUCUUGCGCAAUGGGCGAAAGCCUGACGCAGCGACGCCGCGUGAGGGAUGACGGCCU